UUUAAUGACUAGGCCAUCAGGGCUGGCUCUUCCCUUUUCGAAGAUGCUCUGUGCCUCCACCUCUUUUUCUGGGCGGGCCUGUGAAGGUCUCAUUUUUCUCCAUGGGGCUGUAAACGAUGGUGGUUGGUGGUUGUGUGCGUUUUAAUCAGAGGUAGUUUAAUCCUCUUUUUUCCGAGGGUAAAUGAAGAUUAGGAAUAAGGAAAGAGCCUAGAGCUAGGUGGGGGACCCAGUGUUUACAACUGGUGGGGGGGGGGGGGAGGCUCGCGGGGUGGGGCUGGGCGGGGUCUCUUCCUUUUAGAUUUCUUAGAUUGUGAACUCCUGACCUUGGAGAGCCCGCAGCUUUAGCUAGGUCGCUGGGCACGGUACGCGGUGGGCUUGCGGACUGCGAGGGAGCGGAAACAGAGGGGGACAGCGGGGCCGGGACUGGGCGGGGUCGCUGCCGAGGAAAGUGUGCGCUGGGUUGGACCCGGAUCGCCGCCGCCCCCACCGGAAACCCCAAGUCCCAAAGUCUAGUCCUCGGCACGCGGCGGGAGAACGGAGCAUUGCGCCCCUAAUCUUGGAGGAGCUUCCAACCCCUGGUCUCCUGCGGGGAACCUGGAUCAGUCAAGGGUUUGGCUGGGUGUGCCGACCACUCCAGCCCCUUUGGGGCCUCGGCGCCAAGGAGGUGCUCCUAGCAAGUGUUGAGAAAGUCGGGAUCCCAGAAAUGAAAUUUCAGGGCAGACGGGCGUCGAGCAAUGUGCUCCCCGUCAAGGGGACCAUUUCUGAGCAUGUAAGCCGCUUUCAGCACAUAGCCUGCUGUGCUGUGCUACGGUGAGCAAAACUGUCUUCGUUCCUGCCCGGGAAGCUUUAAGGCUGGAAUGCGGGAGCCGGGCGCGCAGUGAGAAAAGGUGAGCGCCGUGGCCGAGGCCAGCACCACCAGGGGCCGCGAUCUAGUCAGCAGGACUGGACGGUGGCUAGAAAGGGUCCUUGAAGGACUGAGCAGAGACCCAAAGGCCGCGUGACAGAGGUGAAUGCUCGAGGGCCAUUUUGGUAGGCUGGAGGGCAGAAAACUGUGGGCUGGAGCAUAGGGAUAGGGACCGCCAGGGCGGAUCCCACGAGCCCUUGUAGGUGUGUUGGGGAUUUUGGUCGUUCUCAGAAUUGCAGUGGGAAACCACUGAAGGUUUUGAGUUAGAGAUUGGAUGGAUUCGGAGGACUGGAAGAUGGCGACAUAUUGCCUGAGAGAUUUACAUUCUUGAAGGGCGGGACCGGCCCAGGAGCAGAUAGGCGUGCCCAGCCCCCUCCUCCAAGCCAAA
rnacentral:lncRNA from 1 species